AGCACAGAGGAGCUUGCUCCUUGGGUGGCGAGUGGCGGACGGGUGAGGAAUGCGUCGGAAUCUGCCUUUUUGUGGGGGAUAACGUAGGGAAACUUACGCUAAUACCGCAUACGACCUACGGGUGAAAGUGGGGGACCGCAAGGCCUCACGCAGAAAGAUGAGCCGACGCCGGAUUAGCUAGUUGGCGGGGUAAAGGCCCACCAAGGCGACGAUCCGUAGCUGGUCUGAGAGGAUGAUCAGCCACACUGGGACUGAGACACGGCCCAGACUCCUACGGGAGGCAGCAGUGGGGAAUAUUGGACAAUGGGCGCAAGUCUGAUCCAGCCAUGCCGCGUGUGUGAAGAAGGCCUUCGGGUUGUAAAGCACUUUUGUCCGGAAAGAAAUCCUUUCGAUUAAUACUCGGGAGGGAUGACGGUACCGGAAGAAUAAGCACCGGCUAACUUCGUGCCAGCAGCCGCGGUAAUACGAAGGGUGCAAGCGUUACUCGGAAUUACUGGGCGUAAAGCGUGCGUAGGUGGUUUGUUAAGUCUGAUGUGAAAGCCCUGGGCUCAACCUGGGAACGGCAUUGGAUACUGGCUUACUAGAGUGCGGUAGAGGGUAGUGGAAUUCCCGGUGUAGCAGUGAAAUGCGUAGAUAUCGGGAGGAACAUCUGUGGCGAAGGCGACUACCUGGACCAGCACUGACACUGAGGCACGAAAGCGUGGGGAGCAAACAGGAUUAGAUACCCUGGUAGUCCACGCCCUAAACGAUGCGAACUGGAUGUUGGGUGCAACUUGGCACUCAGUAUCGAAGCUAACGCGUUAAGUUCGCCGCCUGGGGAGUACGGUCGCAAGACUGAAA
rnacentral:rRNA from 1 species